UACGAAGGGGGCUAGCGUUGUUCGGAAUUACUGGGCGUAAAGCGCGUGUAGGCGGGUCUUUAAGUCAGGGGUGAAAUGCCAAGGCUCAACCUUGGAACUGCCUUUGAUACUGGAGAUCUUGAGUCCGGGAGAGGUGAGUGGAAUUGCGAGUGUAGAGGUGAAAAUUCGUAGAUAUUCGCAAGAACACCAGUGGCGAAGGCGGCUCACUGGCCCGGAACUGACGCUGAGA
rnacentral:rRNA from 1 species